UACGUAGGUGGCAAGCGUCGUCCGGAUUUAUUGGGCGUAAAGCGCCCGCAGGCGGCUUGAUAAGUUUCAGGUGAAAUCUCCCGGCUCAACUGGGAGGGUGCCUGGAAAACUAUCAGGCUUGAGUCAUGGAGAGGGAUGUGGAAUUCCCGGUGUAGUGGUGAAAUGCGUAGAUAUCGGGAGGAACACCAGUGGCGAAGGCGGCAUCCUGGCCAUGUACUGACGCUCAGGGGCGAAAGCGUGGGGAGCAAACCGG
rnacentral:rRNA from 1 species